CCUACGGGGGGCAGCAGUGGGGAAUAUUGGGCAAUGGACGCAAGCCUGACCCAGCAACGCCGCGUGAAGGAUGAAGGCUUUCGGGUUGUAAACUUCUUUUCUCAGGGACGAAGCAAGUGACGGUACCUGAGGAAUAAGCCACGGCUAACUACGUGCCAGCAGCCGCGGUAAUACGUAGGUGGCAAGCGUUAUCCGGAUUUACUGGGUGUAAAGGGCGUGUAGGCGGUUCUGCAAGUAAGAUGCGAAAACCCCGGGCUCAACCUGGGGCCUGCAUUUGAAACUGUUGGUCUUGAGUACUGGAGAGGCAGACGGAAUUCCUAGUGUAGCGGUGAAAUGCGUAGAUAUUAGGAGGAACACCAGUGGCGAAGGCGGUUUGCUGGACAGUAACUGACACUGAGGCGCGAAAGCGUGGGGAGCAAACAGGAUUAGAUACCCUUGUAGUC
rnacentral:rRNA from 1 species